rnacentral:rRNA from 1 species
AUGAACGCUAGCGGGAGGCCUAACACAUGCAAGCCGAGCGGUAGAGUUUCUUCGGAAACUUGAGAGCGGCGCACGGGUGCGUAACACGUGUGCAACCUACCUUUAUCUGGGGGAUAGCCUUUCGAAAGGAAGAUUAAUACCCCAUAAUAUAAUGAUUGGCAUCAAUUAUUAUUGAAAACUCCGGUGGAUAGAGAUGGGCACGCGCAAGAUUAUAUAGUUGGUGAGGUAACGGCUCACCAAGUCAAUGAUCUUUAGGGGUCCUGAGAGGGAGAUCCCCCACACUGGUACUGAGACACGGACCAGACUCCUACGGGAGGCAGCAGUGAGGAAUAUUGGACAAUGGGUGAGAGCCUGAUCCAGCCAUCCCGCGUGAAGGAUGACGGCCCUAUGGAUUGUAAACUUCUUUUGUACAGGGAUAAACCUACCCUCGUGAGGGUAGCUGAAGGUACUGUACGAAUAAGCACCGGCUAACUCCGUG